UGUAGAAGAAGAGUGAGAACAUGGCGUCAAUGUGCGCGCGCGCGCGAGUGUAUGUGUACGUUAGGGUGAAUGUCACUUUGUGGCCACUUGCUUCCUUAUCAUUCGACAAAGAACGCUUAUUAUUCUUGGUGAUUUUAUUAUUAGCCGCGUCUCGUGCUGAGUUAAUAACGUAGCGUUAUAGUGUAGUGAAGACUGGCUUCUACGUCUUCUAUUCUGACAUGCGGUUCACGAUCGCCGAUCGUCUUUUUGAGCAAUAAUUCAAAAGUGAGAAUACACAACAAGUAUAACAGUUUUUCUUGUUUUUCUCAGAUUCGAUGCGCUACUAUAAAAUAUUUCAUGUUGAUAAAAUACAAAUUAUAAAUUUGCUUUUCUGUGAAUUAAAACAAAAGAAGUCAGAAUGAAGAAAUGUCCGGCUCAAGAUCAACAAGAAAAGGUAAAUGAGUUAGAAGUGAACAAUGAUGCUAAAGACAUUCAAGAGAAGAUGAAGAAGGUGGAGGUGAAGUCUUCGUCUGUUAGUUCUUUGGCGAAGAAUGAUGUACUGUUACCUAGUGGAAUUGCUCGAGUAAAGCAAUUUCAGGAAGCGAGAGCAGUUACUCAAACGAGAUCAUCGUCAUCAGGCUCGGCUACUGGCAAUCCCCGAAAUAAAACCGCGCUAGCACCCGGCCACAGUUUGAUGGACUGGAUCCGAUUAGGCAAUUCUGGAGUCGAUCUAACCGGCGUUGGUGGUGUUCCACGGAUCGUAACAUUAUCCGAGUUGGCCAGUCAUAAUAAGCAAAACGAUGCUUGGAUCGCGAUUCGAGGAAUCGUGUUCAACGUGACACGUUACAUGGAUUUCCAUCCAGGAGGUAUAAGCGAAUUGAUGAGAGGGGUCGGCAAAGACGCGACCAAACUGUUCGAAAGCGUGCACGCUUGGGUCAACUAUCAGAGCAUCCUUCAGAAAUGCGUGGUGGGAAGGCUGAGCCGUGGCUCGAUGACCGGUUCCUCCUCGUCCUCGAUGGAAAACCCUGUCUCGGCCACCACCAAUUGUUCAUCGACGGCGCAGAACCUGAUAACGACAAGUUGCACGACUCAUAGUACCAGUCAAGAAAACGUGUCAGACGGUGAUUUGUCGAAUAUAAAAAUGGAUUGGAGGCAGACAUCCAACACGAUCACGUUAUUUUACCAAACUGUUCGAGAUUAUCCUGGUGUGAGCUAUCAAUUAAGUAGGAUAAGCGACUCGAAGUUGAUAUUCAAAUUAUUUUUCGAGAAGGACAUAAUAACGCAUCAGCUGGAACUGACAGCGGAAAUAAAAUGGCCGCCGAUGUGCACCAAAAAUUUCGACACGAUGGAGGUCGAUUUUACAUUUACGAAACAGAAGAAAGAGAUAUGGAAAUCUCAAGGUAGUCAAACGAUAUCCAGGGAGACAAAUACGAAUAAUCGAAUUUACAAAGAAUACGAAGUUGUUACGAAUAAACCUCUUUCCAAAUUAGUUCACCUAUUGGUCGUUCGAGCGAAAAACUUUUUGCAAAUGGUGCCCAUUGGCAGACACGUAGAAGCCAAGAUGAACGUCAUGGGGAUGGAAGUAUCACGAUCGUACACGCCUGUCUCACCGUGCCUUCACCCUGACGACAUAGCGCCGAAUUACAAAUCCGAUUGUCUGUGUUUAAUGAUCAAAAGAUAUCCCCAAGGUGCUCUCAGUCCGUCCAUAACCGCUCUUCAGAUUGGCCAAACCUUCCUCUUGAGCAAUGCUUUAGGUGCCUUUGUAAUAGAAUCCUUCGAUCGUUAUUCUGUCAUUCACAUGCUCGCGGGUGGCACCGGUUUGACAGCGAUGCUUGGCAUCAUUCAACGAGCUUUGGCCAGACGCAGCGUGAAGACUAUAAAUUUACUUAACUUCAAUAAAAAUGAAGAUAGUAUGUUUUACGUGGCGGAGUUAGAAAAGGCUAGUGCAGAUAAAAAAUUAAAAGUCACACAUAUCCUUUCGCAAGCCGAAAGCACAUGGACGGGUAGACGUGGCACGAUAUCCGAUGAUUUAUUAAAGGAAUUAGUCGCAGAAACUUCCCCUGACGCGUGUGUUUUUACCUGUGGACCUCCAGGAUUCAUACAAUCCGCGAAAAAAUCUCUUCAAAAACUUGACUGGAAACCCUACCAAAUGUACGAAUUUGACGAUUAAGUGCACUCAUCGAGAAUAUAUCUCUCUCUUUUGAUACCAAAUGUCGAAACAUUUAACGCAUGAUGGAAACAUUGGUAUUCUUUGAGAAAAAUAAUUACGUAUCAUGUUGUCGAAUUUUUAAAAAGAAUCUUUUGGAUACUUUUACUCCUAUUUCCGCCCACAGCCUCAGUAUCGUGCAUAACUGAUGUCUUCCUUUUGUGUAAUUUCUUCGUUUUAAUUUUGUUAAAUUACAAGAUUAUGCCAAAUGCGCAACAAUUGAGAAAUAAAGUUCUAUUUAAUGCAAAUGCUCACUUUUUGUAUUAUAUUUACAAAAUUCGAAAAAAAAAAGAGAAAAACGAGAAAAAUAAAUAAGAAAAAAAAUAGGAGUAAGAGUCACAGAUGAAAGUCUUUGGAUUCUAUGGGACGAACUGUGUGUAUAAGCGUCCAUGAAUGUACUUUCUAUAUGAAAACAAAUUAUUUUUACAAAUGUCUUUUAAUCUAUCAUCCAGAGAACUGUAUUUUGAACGAUUUAUCCGAAAAUAUUCACAAAUAUCUUCGGACGUAAACCAAUUCGAAACGAUCAUGGUGCUAUUUUUUAAUCCCUUCGUGCUCGAUUUUACGUAUAAGAUACAUUCACAUACUUGAUACUUUAAUAGUGGAACUAUCAAAUCCAUUAAAAGAUAAAAAUAUAAUUAUAUAUAUAUAUAAAGAAACAAAAAAAAAAUUAGAUCAUGAAAUGGUUAAAUAAAUAUAUAUUUCUUAAUUAUAUUCGAGAAAACUUAUCUUUAUUCAUUCUUUACGAAAAAGGUAAAGAUUAAAGAUAUUUAAUUUCUAUGUAAAAAAUUAGAAUGAUAAUUAAAAAAAAUUCCUUUCCUUUUGAAAUAAAUUGUGUGCCAAAGAGAGGCCUUAGAACUCUGAAUGAAUUCAUGUAACCAAUAAUAUGGCCUAAUCACGAUAUUAAGUCUUAUUAAUCAUUUAUUAGAUCUUAAUUGAUUUAAAAUUUAUAGACAGGUAAAAAAAUAUCAAUAAUAAUUCAUUAAAAUUUUUAAUUUGAUCGAAUAUCAAUACAACACAAAUAAUAUUGUUCAAUACUUUUAACUGAAUCUAUCUAGUUUCUAUUCUAGUUUCUAAAAAUAACUUUAUAAAAUAAUUUCUAAAUUUCGAUCUUCGAUCU
rnacentral:misc_RNA from 1 species